AACUGAAUCCAUAGGUUAAUGAGGCGAACCGGGGGAACUGAAACAUCUAAGUACCCCGAGGAAAAGAAAUCAACCGAGAUUCCCCCAGUAGCGGCGAGCGAACGGGGAGGAGCCCAGAGCCUGAAUCAGCAUGUGUGUUAGUGGAAGCGUCUGGAAAGGCGCGCGAUACAGGGUGACAGCCCCGUACACAAAAGCGCAUGUGCUGUGAGCUCGAUGAGUAGGGCGGGACACGUGGUAUCCUGUCUGAAUAUGGGGGGACCAUCCUCCAAGGCUAAAUACUCCUGACUGACCGAUAGUGAACCAGUACCGUGAGGGAAAGGCGAAAAGAACCCCGGCGAGGGGAGUGAAAAAGAACCUGAAACCGUGUACGUACAAGCAGUGGGAGCACCCUUUGGG
rnacentral:rRNA from 1 species